AUGGUGGGCUCGGCCGCCUACUCGGCGACCUCCAUCGUGGUGGUGAUGGCCAAGGACAAGGGCAGGGGGAAGGGCACCAAAGGGGGCGCCGCCUCCUCCUCCGCCGCCAACAAGGUCGACCGGCGGCCUCCGAGGAUUACAUCUAACGUCAAGCAGAACCUGAGGAUCGUCAAAUUCUGGAAGGAUUACGAAAGGAGGCAAACAACCGGGCCUCAGCCUGCCACCAGGUUCCGCAAAAAGAAAAUAAUGAAGGAGGUGCUUCCUGAUGACACAGACUUCUAUGAGGACCCUUCUGCCACUCUUACCUGCACAAAUGACGGCAGCGUGGAGAUUGCCUCCCCUGUUAUUCUUGUGGACGGCUACAAUGUAUGUGGCUACUGGGGAAAGCUUAAGAGUGAUUUCUUGAACGGGAAUCAAGGAAUUGCGAGGCAGAUGCUCAUUGAUGAGCUGGUAUCGUUCAGUGCAGUACGAGAGAUAAAAGUUGUAGUGGUAUUUGAUGCUGCAUUGUCUGGGCAAUCUACACACACUGAAACUUAUAAAGGGGUUGAUGUGGUAUAUUCUGCUGACUUAUCUGCUGAUUGUUGGAUUGAGAAGGAGGUUGAAGCUUUGGUGGCAGAUGGAUGUCCAAAGGUCUGGGUUGUAACGUCGGAUGUACUGGAGCAACAGUUAUCACAUGGUGAAGGUGCUCUUAUUUGGAGCUCUAAAAGACUGGUUAAAGAGAUAAAAGAAUCAGAACUGGAGCUUGACGAAGAGCUGAAGGAAAUCAGGUCAACAUCAUUGCAAGGAAAGAUUUUUCAGCACAAGCUGAAACCUAAAGUAGUGCAAGGUUUAAAAAAUCUUCGGAAUCAGCUCGAAGAACAAGAGCGGAAAAAGAAGUGA
rnacentral:rRNA from 1 species